CAUUAAGAAGCUAUGGACAAGCACUAGCCUUUUAAGCUAGAGAAAGAGGACUCCCUCCCUCCUUAAUGA
rnacentral:tRNA from 3 species